rnacentral:rRNA from 1 species
UGUUGGUGAGGUAGUGGCUCACCAAGGCGACGACGGGUAGCCGGCCUGAGAGGGCGACCGGCCACACUGGGACUGAGACACGGCCCAGACUCCUACGGGAGGCAGCAGUGGGGAAUAUUGCACAAUGGGCGAAAGCCUGAUGCAGCGACGCCGCGUGAGGGAUGACGGCCUUCGGGUUGUAAACCUCUUUCAGCAGGGAAGAAGCGAAAGUGACGGUACCUGCAGAAGAAGCGCCGGCUAACUACGUGCCAGCAGCCGCGGUAAUACGUAGGGCGCAAGCGUUGUCCGGAAUUAUUGGGCGUAAAGAGCUCGUAGGCGGCUUGUCACGUCGGUUGUGAAAGCCCGGGGCUUAACCCCGGGUCUGCAGUCGAUACGGGCAGGCUAGAGUUCGGUAGGGGAGAUCGGAAUUCCUGGUGUAGCGGUGAAAUGCGCAGAUAUCAGGAGGAACACCGGUGGCGAAGGCGGAUCUCUGGGCCGAUACUGACGCUGAGGAGCGAAAGCGUGGGGAGCGAACAGGAUUAGAUACCCUGGUAGUCCACGCCGUAAACGGUGGGCACUAGGUGUGGGCAACAUUCCACGUUGUCCGUGCCGCAGCUAACGCAUUAAGUGCCCCGCCUGGGGAGUACGGCCGCAAGGCUAAAACUCAAAGGAAUUGACGGGGGCCC